GGACUAACGCCGAUAUGCUUCGGGGAGCUGUAAGUAAGCUUUGAUCCGAAGAUUUCCGAAUGGGGAAACCCACCAUACGUAAUGGUAUGGUAUCCUUAUCUGAAUACAUAGGGUAAGGAAGACAGACCCAGGGAACUGAAACAUCUAAGUACCUGGAGGAAGAGAAAGCAAAUGCGAUUUCCUGAGUAGCGGCGAGCGAAACGGAACAUAGCCCAAACCAAGAGGCUUGCCUCUUGGGGUUGUAGGACAUUCUAUACGGAGUUACAAAGGAACGAGGUAGACGAAGCGACCUGGAAAGGGCCGUCGUAGAGGGUAACAACCCCGUAGUCGAAACUUCGUUCUCUCUUGAAUGUAUCCUGAGUACGGCGGAACACGUGAAAUUCCGUCGGAAUCUGGGAGGACCAUCUCCCAAGGCUAAAUACUCCCUAGUGAUCGAUAGUGAACCAGUACCGUGAGGGAAAGGUGAAAAGCACCCCGGAAGGGGAGUGAAAGAGAUCCUGAAACCGUGUGCCUACAAAUAGUCAGAGCCCGUUAA
rnacentral:rRNA from 1 species